GGUCGUCCAGCCCGUGUUAGAAUUGGACGCCUGCUGAUUGUUGCAUUGGUUUUCUUUCUUUCUGACGCAUUCUGUCGAGGAUGGGACUAGCACAUGGCUCGAUGCAUCACAAUUUACAAGGUUCUCUUUCUCCUUUGUUCAUCGCUGUUCUCCGCUAUUCUCCUCUGUCUCUGUCUCUCUCUCUCUCUCUCUGAGACCAUCUCUCUCUUUUCUUCUUCAUUUUCAUCAACCACCCCAGAGCCCUUCUAGCUCUCUUCUUCUCCAUGACCGGCAACAUCAGGACCAAAACAUAUGGUGAAAAUUUUGGAAUCUCUUCCAACAUUCUUGUGAGACUCUAAUUGGUCUGGAUAUGAAGCUACUAAACGCAUGAGACACAGAAAUCAUCUUAAUUGGUAAAACCAUUUUUAUGGUUUGCAUUAUGUUGACAUAAAGGGGUAUCGAAGACUGCUACUUUUGCUUAACAUUGUUGAAUUUUGCAUACAAGUUCCAUGAAGGUAAGAUGCUCUAUCAACUCAGUGUGAAGUCUUGCCGCAAAAGAAUUUUUUUUUUAUUUUGUAUCUGGGUUGGUUUUCCCAUAUAGGAAAGGUGGUUUAGUAUGUUAAUAGAACUUUCAAGAUUGAAUUUGUGGUGAGAAAUGGGAUUGGCAAUAGUUGGAAUUUGACAAACUAUUGUUCAGUGUAGCAUUGAUUAGGACCUAGCAUUUUGUUCGAAUAUUAUAGAUUGGGCUGAAAUUUGACAAUAGUUUCAGUAUAGCAUUCAUUAGGACCUAGCAUUUUAUUCGAAUAUUAGUAAUCAAAAGAAAAUUUUCUAAAAAAUGGUUGAUUUUGGUACGCGGGGUUAAGUAAUUUUUUUACCUUUCUUAAAGUUUGUGUUUUAGAUUACAUCAGCUUGAAAUGUUUAGAGUCGAUUCAUUGUAAGUUGACAACAUAAAAUGAUUCACCUCAUAAUAGUAGGGUGGCCUUCAAUAUUAAAUCUGCAACAUUAUACUUGUAAGUGGUAUAGUCUCAUAUAAUUCACGGGAGUUUCAGCUUUCUAUUUGGCUGGUUGUUUAAACAGUUAACGUGAACAACUUGUUAGGGGAUUACAUUUUUAUGUUUUUAUUAGAAAUCUGUUUUAAUUUGAAUUUUUGAAUUUUAAGUCAUCGCAUACCCUUGUUCUUAUAAAAUGAUGAAAACCAGUUAGAUGACUCCAGUGUACCUGUUUUACAAUAUUGUCACAUUUCAAAUUUCCAAAUUGCUCCUAACAUUCUUUUUAUUGAUCUUGUUGUAAAUAAUCAUUUGUGAUGAUAUAGUACUUCUGACAGAAUUAGCGGCUGAAUUUCUAGGAUGAAGAGUGCGAAAAGUUGAUUAUCUACUUGAGAUGACUGCUUUUUCGCUUUUUUCCUAUACUGGCAUGAUCAAGACGCAAGAUCAGAUCUUUCCAACCACGAAUAGUGUGCAUUUGACAGUUUGAAUUUCUUUUUUUUUUUUUUUAUAAAUCUUGCCCCGGUGAUGAUUAGUAAUCAUCCAAAAUUAUACAUGUAUAAAUAUAUUUAUGGGAACAUCAACAAUUGUCUAGAGAUCAAUUGGCCUCUUUACUUAUUCAAUAAUUCCUUUCUCAUAAAUUUUUUUUC